rnacentral:lncRNA from 1 species
CAGGUGGCCUCCAGGUGCAAAGUGGGAAGUGUGAGUCCUCAGUCUUGGGCUAUUCGGCCACGUGCCUGCCGGACAUGGGACGCUGGAGGGUCAGCAGCGUGGAGUCCUGGCCUUUUGCGUCCACGGGUGGGAAAUUGGCCAUUGCCACGGCGGGAACUGGGACUCAGGCUGCCCCCCGGCCGUUUCUCAUCCGUCCACCGGACUCGUGGGCGCUCGCACUGGCGCUGAUGUAGUUUCCUGACCUCUGACCCGUAUUGUCUCCAGAUUAAAGGUACGACAUUUGGAGGCCCCAGCGAGAAACGUCACCGGGAGAAACGUCACCGGGCGAGAGCCGGGCCCGCUGUGUGCUCCCCCGGAAGGACAGCCAGCUUGUAGGGGGGAGUGCCACCUGAAAAAAAAAUUUCCAGGUCCCCAAAGGGUGACCGUCUUCCGGAGGACAGCGGAUCGACUACCAUGUGGGUGCCCACAAAAAUUCCACCUCUGAGUCCUCAACUGCUGACCCCGGGGUCAGUAGACACGGGGUUUCACCAUGUUGGCCAGGCCGGUCUUGAACUUGUGACGUCAGGUGAUGCACCCGCCUUGGCCUCCCAAAGUGCUGGGAUUACAGGUCCAGAUUUUGAACAAAUCUCGCUAGAGAUUGAACAGAGCUGCGCCUGGAUCCCGCCACAGUGAGGAGACCUGAAGACCAGAGAAAACACAGCAAGCCCCUGGAUCCUCCUGGAAUCCCCGAUCCCUCUUGCUCCCUGGCAGAGUUUUCUAGUCCCUCUUACUUGAAGCAUGUCUUUCAGAGCCCGGCACCACCCAUCUUGAGUAUCUGAUACCCCAUCAGCCUGAGUCUCUUAAAGGCCUUUAUACACAUAUGUCUACACAUAGGGAUUUGGAUGAUCUCGGGAUCCCACAUCCUCGCUGUCCCCUGUCCCCCCGCAACAUCCCCCACCAAUACCUUUCUGAAGUUUUCUAGUCCCUCCUUUUUGUUUGUGCUCCUUAAAGCCCAGCCCCAUGCCUGACUUUGGUUCCCAGUGAGCAUUGUACAUUUGUGGAUAUUAAAUCUUUGGCAAAGUCAUUUACCUGGGCUGGA